rnacentral:rRNA from 1 species
UACAGAGGGUGCAAGCGUUGUUCGGAAUUAUUGGGCGUAAAGCGCGUGUAGGCGGCUUUGCAAGUCGGGUGUGAAAGCCCUCAGCUCAACUGAGGAAGUGCGCCCGAAACUGCAGAGCUUGAGUACCGGAGAGGAUGGUGGAAUUCCCCAAGUAGAGGUGAAAUUCGUAGAUAUGGGGAGGAACACCGGUGGCGAAGGCGACCAUCUGGACGGAUACUGACGCUGAGACGCGAAAGCGUGGGUAGCAAACAGG